CCCUAGAAUCGCCGCGUUGGUGCUCGCAGCGUGGUUCGCAGGCUGCAGUUCAACGGGAAGCAGGGAAGCACGACCGACCAGGAAAGUGCCGCGCCUGCGCUGCCCCCGCAACGGUCAACGGAUGGGGCGCUCUUUCCGAGCGUCCCGGUCUCCCCGCCCACAGCCACUGGAUGCCUUGAACAAGCACCUGGGAAGGCUUGGGGAGAUUCAUCCGCCAGCCCGGAUACCGGCCAACAAGAGGUGCUGCUC
rnacentral:ncRNA from 2 species